UGUUUUUAGAAUUUUAGUCGG
rnacentral:piRNA from 1 species